GGUCGGAUGAUGGAGUUGGUCACCAUACCUGUCUAACACACAGGAGGUCGCAAGUUCGAGCCUUGCUUCGAUCA